GGUAAUGGGUAAUGGGUAAUGGGUAAUGGGAAAAAACCUAUUACCAAUUACCUUUUCCCGAAUUACCAAUCUUUGGUAAGGGUGCAAAGGUGCGGUAAGAGCGCACCAGCAACAUCGAGAGGUGUUGGCUCGGUAAACCCCGGUUGGGAGCAAGGCGAAUGGAACUACGGUUGGUCUUUUACCAGUUCCGCGAUCAGAGCCGCUAGAGACGUCUGGUAACAGCCGUCCCAGAUAGAUAACCGCCCUCUUGAAUUAAGAGAACAGAACCCGGCUUACUGCCGACUCUCUACU
rnacentral:RNase_P_RNA from 1 species